UACAGAGGGUGCAAGCGUUAAUCGGAAUUACUGGGCGUAAAGCGUGCGUAGGCGGUUAUGUAAGUCAGAUGUGAAAGCCCCGGGCUCAACCUGGGAAUUGCAUUUGAGACUGCAUAGCUAGGGUGCGGAAGAGGGAAGCGGAAUUUCCGGUGUAGCGGUGAAAUGCGUAGAUAUCUGGAGGAACACCGGUGGCGAAGGCGGCAUCCUGGACCGGCAUUGACGCUGAGGCGCGAAAGCCAGGGGAGCAAACGGG
rnacentral:rRNA from 1 species